rnacentral:sRNA from 1 species
GCCAGGCACAGUGGAGCACGUCUGUAAUCCCAGCAGCUCAGGAGGCUGAGACGGGAGGAUCACGGGUUCAAAGCCAGCCUCAGCAAGGGUGAGGUGCUAAGCAACUCAGUGAGACCCUGUCUCUA